AUACGGAGGGUGCAAGCGUUACUCGGAAUCACUGGGCGUAAAGGAUGCGUAGGCUGGAUGUCAAGUUGGAAGUGAAAUCCUAUGGCUUAACCAUAGAACUGCUUCCAAAACUGGCAACCUAGAGUGAGGGAGAGGCAGAUGGAAUUAGUGGUGUAGGGGUAAAAUCCGUAGAUAUCACUAGGAAUACCGAUUGCGAAGGCGAUCUGCUAGAACUCUACUGACGCUAAGGCAUGAAAGCGUGGGGAGCAAACCGGAUUAGAUACCCUAGUAGUCC
rnacentral:rRNA from 1 species